GUGUCAAGAAAUGGAGCAGCAUCUGAAAACUGGAAAAGUCAAGGAACCAAUUCUGCCCUAAAGCCUCCAGAAGGAACAAGGCAGUACUGACACCUAGCUUUCAGCCUAGUGAGAACCAUUUUUAACCUCUGACCUCCAGAACUAGUCUGCUUCAGGAACCAAACCUGUGAGUGUUGGCUGAAUCAUGGUCUCAGUCCUUAAUGGAAUGCCACUGUUUAUGGAAAAUAAUGUGAUUAAAGGGACAAGGACUUUAGAUACUUGAAGAUUCCAGAAAGAAGCCCAAUCCCUGCAAAACAAAAACCAGUUGGAUCCAGAAACACCUGAGUUGGAGAUGAGCCUUGGAAACCUCUCCUGACUACCGAAAACCCCACCCAGGGAGGAACUUAUUCACCAUGUUUUAUACAUGUGACAUAUGUAGAAGAAUAAUCAACACCUGCAUCUGCCCUGCCUUUAAUCCACCUCUACACACAAUGACUCAGCCAACCAGCCUAAGAUAAGCCCUGUUUUCACCCUCAUUCAGGAGGCCAAUGUUUGGGGAGUUAUCCCCAGUGCCCUCUUUACUUGUUGCAUGUAAUAA